AUUGAACGCUGGCGGCAUGCCUUACACAUGCAAGUCGAACGGUAACGCGGGGCAACCUGGCGACGAGUGGCGAACGGGUGAGUAAAGCAUCGGAACGUGCCCAGUAGUGGGGGAUAGCCCGGCGAAAGCCGGAUUAAUACCGCAUACGACCUAAGGGGGAAAGGGGGGGAUCGCAAGACCUCUCGCUAUUGGAGCGGCCGAUGUCAGAUUAGGUAGUUGGUGGGGUAAAGGCCUACCAAGCCGACGAUCUGUAGCUGGUCUGAGAGGACGACCAGCAACACUGGGACUGGGACACGGCCGAGACUCCUCCGGGAGGGAGCAGUGGGGAAUUUUGGACAGUGGGCGCAAGCCUGAUCCAGCCAUGCCGCGGGCGGGAAGAAGGCCUUCGGGUUGUAAACCGCUUUUGUCAGGGAAGAAAUCCUUUGGGUUAAUACCUCGGGGGGAUGACGGUACCUGAAGAAUAAGCACCGGCUAACUACGUGCCAGCCGCCGCCGUAACAC
rnacentral:rRNA from 1 species